GGGGGCGUAAAGGUUUCGACGGGGGGAGCGAGGUCUGGGCAGCGGGUAGCAGCGGGGGAACUGCUCUAUAACUCCUCCAAACAAUUAACUGACAACAACAAUUAUCAGUUGCUCGCAGCCUGAGUGCUGCGCGUCUCGCCCACUCUUGUGUCGUGUGGGGCCGGGGCGUCCUUUAGACACAGCACCUGAACGGACUUAAGCUUUGCGGACCGGCAGGAACUCAUGAAGCUACCAAUGCGCUAGCCUGACGAUCGGCGUGGCGC
rnacentral:tmRNA from 1 species